UACGUAGGCAGCGAGCGUUGUUCGGAGUUACUGGGCGUAAAGAGUGCGUAGGCGGUUUUCUAAGUUUGGUGUGAAAUCUCCCGCUUAACUGGGAGGGUGCGCCGAAAACUGGAAGGCUUGAGUAUGGGAGAGGUAAGCGGAAUUCCUGGUGUAGCGGUGAAAUGCGUAGAUAUCGGGAGGAACACCAGUGGCGAAGGCGGCUUCCUGGCCUGUUCUUGACGCUGAGGCGCGAAAGCUAGGGGAGCAAACGGG
rnacentral:rRNA from 1 species